rnacentral:rRNA from 1 species
AGAGUUUGAUCAUGGCUCAGGACUAACGCUGGCGGCGUGCUUAACACGUGCAGGUCUUAGGAGAAAAGGGUAGCAAUAUCCUGAGUAAAGUGGCGCACGGGUGAGUAACACGUAAGCAAUUUGCCUUUAGGACGGGAACAACCCCGGGAAACCGGGGCUAAUACCCGAUGAUGCAGCGGCUCCGCAUGGAGACAGUUGUUAAACCCCGCAAGGGGCCUAUUGAUGAGCCUGCGUCUGAUUAGCUAGUUGGUGAGGUAACGGCCCACCAAGGCAACGAUCAGUAGCUGGUCUGAGAGGAUGAUCAGCCACACUGGAACUGACACACGGUCCAGACUCCUACGGGAGGCAGCAGUGAGGAAUAUUGCGCAAUGGCCGAAAGGCUGAGGCAGCGACGCCGCGUGAAGGAUGAAGUUCGUUAGAAUGUAAACUUCUUUUGUAGGGGAUGAAUGCUCCGUUUUACGGAAUUGACCGUACCCUGCGAAUAAGGAUCGGCUAACUACGUGCCAGCAGCCGCGGUAAUACGUAGGAUCCGAGCGUUGUCCGGAAUUACUGGGUGUAAAGGGCGUGUAGGUGGGUCUCUAAGUCGGUGGUGAAAUCUUGCAGCUUAACUGUAAAAUUGCCAUCGAUACUGGAGAUCUUGAGUACGGCAGAGGGAAAUAGAAUUCAUGGUGUAGCGGUGAAAUGUGUAGAUAUCAUGAAGAAUACCGGUAGCGAAGGCGGUUUCCUGGUCCGUAACUGACACUGAGGCGCGAAAGCGUGGGGAGCAAACAGGAUUAGAUACCCUGGUAGUCCACGCCUUAAACGAUGAAUACUAGGUGCUGGGCCGUAAGGUUCAGUGCCAAGCUAACGCAUUAAGUAUUCCACCUGGGGAGUACGAUCGCAGGUUGAACUCAAGGAAUUUGACGGGGGCCCCGCACAGCAGUGAGCAUGUGGUUCAAUUUCGAUGCACCUCGAAAACCUUACCCCGGAUUUG